AAUAUUUUUUAUCUUGGAUUAUGUCAGUCUUGUUCAUAUAUAUAAUUAAUUAAAUUUGAUUACUUGAAAACUAAAUAAAAUUACCUGACAAUACAGUGUCCACAAAUGAUUUUUCAGAAAAGAAAAUGUAGUAUAUAUUUUGAACAAAAUGCAGUAGAUGAAUAGUUUUGUGAAUUUUGUACAGUAACUCAAAUAUUUCCUUUCGUAAGCACUAUAAUAAUGUAGAUUGGUGCUGAUGGAUGAUGAUCAGUACUAUUGAAAGAUACCUGUUGGCACCAAUUACUGUUAAAAAAUAGAAUCUCCUAUAGAAAAAGUUCAGUACAUAGUAUGGCUGGCAAAAAUGAAAUUGCCAAAGACAAUUUACAAAUUACAGGAAGGAUUCACAAAGUGAAUCCUUCCUGUAAUUUGUUUAGUGUUCAGUCGUAAAAGCAUGGAUGAAAACAUUUCUUCAAACAGAUUGUGCUGAAAAGGAAAAGCACAAGAUGACUGAAUAUCUCCUAACAACACAACCAAAACAAUCAGGUCUUCAUUUCAGAGGAAUGCAUCAAAGUCAAUUGAAAAUACCAAUUGAACCAAUUGAAAAUACUAUAGUCAACAGUGCACAAGAUACUGUACAAGAGAUUCAAAUUGUAUGCAUACAAAGUGCAGGUCAUGCAAGCCUUGAAAACUGAUAAUUGAUCAAUUAAGCAUGUCAACACCUCUGUUGACAUGCUUGAAGAAUUGACAAGAACAGAUGCUUUUUAUCCCAAAUCUGCUUCUCAAAUGAAGCAAUAUUUCACCUUUCAGAGAAGAUGAACAGAGAUAGUGUGAAUAUGGAAAUCAGAACAACCUGCAUACUGCACAUGAACAUGAAAAAGACAGCUCAAAAGUAAGCAUCUGUUGCAGGCUAAUAGUAAAUAAAAUUAUUGAUCCUUUUUUCCUUUAUUGAAAAUACCAUUAUUGCCAUCAUCUACCAAGACAUGCUAGAGGGAUUUCUGAUCUUUCAGUUCAAGCAUUUUCAGUCAAGUGUGUAUGGUACUACUCUAAAUUAGAGAAGUUAUUUUGGAAGUUUCUUAACAAUGUUCUUCCAGAGUGCUAGACUGAGAGUAGUCUCAUUCUCUUAUCUCCUAUGAUCAUCAGAUAUUGCAUCUUUUAACUUCUUAUGGAAAUAUGUCAGACAUUAUAUAUGAAAUACAUGUGCCUGAUAGGAAUGUUCUAAAAGACAGAUGUUAUUGUAUCUACAGUCCUAUUUCACAAGAUAUGCUAGAAAAUAUAUGAUGAAAUUGAAUAUCAUUUGGAUGUAUUCCAAACAACAGAGACUUGGAAGUGGAAGUUGCAUAACAUAAAGAAAACUUUGAGUUACUACACAAAAUUGAUAAAAAUGUGUUCAUUUUUGUUUUGUUCAAAAGCUAUUACAUUUUAAUUUUUAAAAAAUUUAUAUUUAUCAUUUAUUUCACUAAUACCAUUUGAUUAUUAGAAUAAAUUUUACUUAAUAAACUCUAACAUUAUUUCAGUUAUAUUCAAUUUAUGAUGAUAUUUUUGCAGAAAAAUAUUUGGUUUUAAUUUUUUAAUAAAAUUGGCAACAUAUAUAUUAAGAAACAUCUAUUUAUUGUGCUUCGAGCAUCAACAAUGCACUAAUUGAAAUUGAUUUUGGGAGGAAAAACAUUUAAAGCAUUCCCAAUAUUUCCUGUAUAUAAGAUUAUGUAAAUUUUUUUGUUAUGGCAACUAAUGAAUAUUAAUUACAUCAGUAUUGCACUGAAAACAUUUUACUGAUAUAACUGUGUAUUUAAUAAAAAAUAAUAAGAUUAUCUUCAAAGUAAUUUACUUUUUUAAAGUUUUUGUCUAAUAUAAAGAAUGCUCCAAAAUUUAGAAUAUUUCAAUGAUUUAUAGUAUUUAUUUUAUGAGCAUAUUUUUUAGUGGAAAAAAAAAUUGCCAGACAAAUGCCCAAUAACAUUUUACUGAAGAACAUUUCACUGACAGGUGUUUGACUGAACAGACAUUGAGCCAAUAGUCAUUUAGUUGAACAGACAAUUAUUAGAAUGGAUAUUUGGCUAAAUGGAUAUAUGGUUUC
rnacentral:lncRNA from 1 species